AGCGGCGGCGCUGCUCACCUCAUCCCGUAUGCAGGAGGCGUGAGCCACUGGCGAGGUUUUGGGGGGGAGAGCAGGAGGGAGGAAGAAGAGGGGACGAGGGGCGGGCAGAGCUCGCCUGGUGGACCCCUCGCACUAAAACUGAGGGCUUGCACGGGUGGAAUAGAGAGGGUGCUGCAGAGGGUAGGGGCCUCGCCUCCCUUGAGCAGACACAGCUCUGCCCGCCCCCCCACUCUCCGGCGCAGGCGGGGCCGGCACGUGGGCAGGUGCCAUCCCGCGCCCUAAAAAUAACGGCAGGGAACUAGGUCGCGGCCGCGGGGAAGCGGCCCCGCAGUGGCUGCCUGGCUAGGGGUCUGGGACGACCCCUAGGGGGAAGAUGAGACUUCGAGGGUGGGGCACCAUGGAAUAUGGGUCCCUGGAGAGCCUGUCUGCAAAGCCCGGAAGCAAGCCCUGAAGAGGGGUGGAGAGCCAGACCCUCUCUCAUAUCGCUGUUCAAGAGGUCUCCUAGAAGAUUGAUUAUCCUGGGACCCCUCAGCACCCCUAGAUCCAGGCUGGAGCCUGUGGUGGAGACAUCUCAGAAAGUAGCAUCAGAGGUUUGGACACUUUGAGUCGCUGAAAGAUCUAAACAUCAAAGGGUAAGAACAGAUUAAGGGUAAAUGAUUUUCAGACCCACCCUAGCUAGCCCCCACCACUAGCCCUCUAAGUUCCACAAGAGUUCCUGGGCUGGAAGGGAUGACAUUAAUCAUUUUAUCUCAUGCACAGCUUUCAUUUUACAGAUGAGAAAGUUAAGACCCAAAGAGGAGAAAUAAAUGACUACAUGUGGACACAAUGCCAGUGAAUAGAAGAACUUGGUCUAGGAUCCAGGUUGCUUUAUUGCAGUUUAGGACUCUGCUCGUGUGUGUGUGUGUGUGUGUGUGUGUGUGUGUGUGUGUGUGUGAACACAACCUCUUUUUAACUUGCCCCUGUCUCCAAUAAAGAAGACCUCUGAAUCGUGGCUACUAAAAAAGGAACAGGGACUGUGUCUGAGAUGAACUUUGUUCCUUUUCUUGUGCUCAGGUUUCAGAAUUACCAGACUGGAGUGGCCUCUUGGCUUGCAACUGAAGGUGGGCCCAGAAGGCCUUUAGAAGUCCUUUAAAGCCAUCCACGUGACUGGAGAUCCAGUUCUGGUAAUGUGACUUUUCAGGACCAUGGACAGGGCUCUCGGUUGAGAUUCCCGUGCCCGCAUUUGUCGGUGGCUUCAGACUGAGGCAACCACAGUCUUCCGUGGCUGACUGAGAGGAGCCCCUGAGGGACCCAUCAAUAAGGUAUCAUUGCCACUGGGUUCUGUGGAUGCUGGAAGGACACCAGGGUGAAGAGCUAGCUUUUCAGGCAGGUGUGAAAAUUCACCUUAGCUUUCCAAGAGGAAAAAA